UACGUAGGGACCAAGCGUUGUUCGGAUUUACUGGGCGUAAAGGGCGCGUAGGCGGCUUAACAAGUCACUUGUGAAAUCUCCGGGCUUAACUCGGAACGGCCAAGUGAAACUGUCAAGCUAGAGUGCAGAAGGGGCAAUCGAAAUUCUUGGUGUAGCGGUGAAAUGCGUAGAUAUCAAGAGGAACACCUGAGGUGAAGACGGGUUGCUGGGCUGACACUGACGCUGAGGCGCGAAAGCCAGGGGAGCAAACGGG
rnacentral:rRNA from 1 species